AGCAGCCGCGGUAAUUCCAGCUCCAAUAGCGUAUAUUAAAGUUGUUGCAGUUAAAAAGCUCGUAGUUGAAUUUCGGGAUCAAUAUGCCGGUCAUGCCUUGGUAUGCACUGGUAUCUUUGAUUUCUCCCUUCUGACGAACUUUGAUGUCAUUAAUUUGGUGUCAUAGGGAAUCAGGACUGUUACUUUGACAAAAUUAGAGUGUUUAAAGCAGGCUCACGCUUGAAUACAUUAGCAUGGAAGAAUGAAAUAGGACGUUUGAUUCUAUUUUGUUGGUUUCUAGGAUCGACGUAAUGAUUAAUAGGGAUAGUUGGGGGCAUUAGUAUUCAAUUGUCAGAGGUGAAAUUCUUGGAUUUAUUGAAGACUAACUACUGCGAAAGCAUUUGCCAAGGAUGUUUUCAUUAAUCAAGAACGAAAGUUAGGGGAUCGAAGACGAUCAG
rnacentral:rRNA from 1 species